UACGUAAGGGGCAAGCGUUGUCCGGAAUCACUGGGCGUAAAGCGCACGUAGGCGGUUUAGCAAGUUAGGGGUGCAAGCUCCAGGCUUAACCUGGAAACUGCCUCUAAAACUACUUCACUUGAGUAUUAGAGGGGAAGCUGGAAUUCCAGGUGUAGCGGUGAAAUGCGUAGAUAUCUGGAGGAACACCGGUGGCGAAGGCGGCAUCCUGGACCGAGAUUGACGCUGAGGCGCGAAAGCCAGGGGAGCAAACGGG
rnacentral:rRNA from 1 species